GGAGCCUGCUCUUAUUCUUCCUGACCACAUUAUUUGGUUUCCUCCUCUGGGUUUUCUUAAUACCUCUCUAUUGUGUCAGAUGUAUUGUAGCCUAAUUUACCUGUUCCUGUGUCCGUAUCUCUCUAUUCCUCUCUUUAUACCAGGUGGCUAGAAGUGAGCCUGCCAGUAGAGACGGGUUGCAUGGAUGAGUGUGUGGGUCAUUGGGGGGGUGACCAGAUGGAUGGAUGAAGGCUUUGCUUUGUGGUCCAAAAGGGAACCAGGCUGCUAUACUCAGUAGACCUUGCACAUUUGCACAAGAAAGGUUCAAGAAGUCCACAAGAUUAAACGGAAUCCCUGCUGGUUCAUGCCUUCCCCAGGCUCCUUUUCAGCCUUCAGUCCCCACUCCAUUCCUCUCUGGCUGUGCCGGUCCUGCUCCACUUUCCUGGAGGCUCCACCUGGCCCCAGAAUGCAAUGAGACACAUCCCAUUUUCUAUCAGGGCACAGUACCGACGCCCUGGGCCCCCGUGAUCACUGACCUCUGAAGCAAGACUGGACAAAGGAGGCGGGGGAGAAGGAGGCUGCUGACACUGGCUCCCACUCCUCCACGCCAUCCUGUCCCAGCAGAAGUGCUUUAACCAGAUGAUAAACUGGCCAUGUAGGACGAGCAUUCUUAAAGCCUCAGGAGCUUAAGAGUUCCAAAAGAGCCUAGUUCUUCCCAGACUCGGUGCAUUUGAAGCGAUAGACUCAAUGUAGUGGAAUCACCAAAAAUUUAUCUUGGCAAAGACUGAGAAGCCAGUUCUAAGGUUUGGGAUUGCAUCGAACAUGUGUUCAUUUAUUUGCUCACUUUCAGUAAAUACACAGUGGCCCCCACUAGGGCCUGAGAAUGCAGAUACUGGCUCCUUGAGUGAAGUGGACAGAGAGAUCUAGCAAUCAUGAUCAGAGUGAGAGAGUGAGGUUUACAUUCCUAGGAACUCAGUAAAUGGGUUGAAUAAAUUCAUACGUAGUAAACAAACCAAAUGAAAUGCCAAUAUCCUUCUACAGCAUCGCUGCUCUUUGGCAGAAUACGUUUACCAUUUUCUUUCACCCAACCAGUAAAAAUUCUUCCUCUGUAAGAGAUCCUGACCUCCUCACCCCAAGAAGUCUUGUAGGCUCCUUCCUCCUCCUUCCUCCUGUCCUGGUACAUUCGUCCCUUGGUUUGGUCAUAUUACUGUAUCGUAAGCGGCUGUUAACCGGUGUCUUUUGCCACUAGACUCUGCAUCUCUUGAAAACAGAAACGGUCUCAUUCAUCUGAGCAUUUCCAGCUUCUGACACAGGCCCUGCUAUAGAGCAGGCACUCAGAAAAUCUUGAAUUAUUGUUGGGGUUUUAGAACUUUGCGCUCCUAAAAUAUGAGGAAGGGAGGGAAGUGUGUGUUAUUAUUCCACCCAAUUGCCUAGUGGCAGAGCUACAACCGGAAUCCCAGUCCUGAAGCUGCAUCCAGAAGGCUGUGUUCCUCCUCUUGCUCUAAGCGUCAUCUCAUAGAACACAGCUCUUUUGUUCAGGAAAGCUUGCUCAUAGAUUUUCUGAGAUGGACAUACACACAUUCCAGAGCCUGCUUUUAGGUGGCCAGUGAGAGCUCAGUUGCUUUGCAUGAUACUUUUACUUUUUUCUCUCUCAGUGGCUAAGGAAGAUAGGAAGCAGGGGUCUCUGGAGCUCAAGGGAAAAUUGGAGAUGGUGCAGGGGAAGCUGUCUGCAAGGUACACUGACUCUGAACAAAAGUGAGCUAAACCUGGGCAUUCCCAUCAUGGCUCAGUGGGUUAUGAACCUGAUUUGUAUCCAUGAGGAUGCGAGUUCAAUCCCUGGACUCGCUCAGCGGGUUAAGGAUCUGGUGUUGCCAUGAGCUGUGAUAUAGGUUGCAGACAUGGCUUGGAUCUCAUGUUGUUGUGGCUGUGGUGUAGACUGGAAGCCAUAGCUCUGAUUCGACCCCUAGCCUGGGAACUUCCAUAUGCUGCAGGUGCAGCUCUAAAAAUUAAAAAAAAAAAAAAAAGAGAAGAAGAAGAAAGUGAGCCAAGCCUCUGCUCCCCAAAUAUACUAGAUGUAGGUACACACUGGAUACUCAAUGGCUAACAGGUGCCUACAGCCAUGUGUGGUUCAGGUGCAGUGCACACAGGGCGAUGUUGCAUUAAAUAUGGAUUUCAGGCUCAUCAUAAAAGAUCAGAAGUUGUGACAACCCAGGUCUGCUGCACUGAAACUGGACGGUUGCUACCAUCUUUUGUCCAGAUGGGACCUACACUCUCUUGUUUGCCACAGUCCCCACCACUCCCUAUUGUUCCUUAUGCUGCUCUGAUCCAUGUGACUCAUUUGCAUGGCAUUGCUUACCUGGCACCUGGAGGCCUUUAGGUUCACAACAACUGCACCAGAGACAAAUGAUGACCCUGGAAAGAGAAGGAGAGAAACUUUAGUUCCUGCUCUUCUAUGGGGAGAACCUAGCCAAGCGGCAAAUGUUGUCACAACCUAUGAGGUCAAAGAGGGGCAGACAGGUAUCCCUAUUCUAAGACUGAUGAAACUGAAGCUCGCAUAGGGUAACUUGCUUGAUCAUGGAAACAGAGCAAGUAAAAAGUAGAGCUAGGAUUCAACUCUGGACCCCUUGGAUUCCAAACUCUGUGCUCUAUCUGAACUAUUUCCCCAAGGGCUUGUUAAUUCCAUCCCUCCCCACACCUCCUCCCCAGCUCCUUUCAUCUGAACUUGAAUGCUGACCCAGAAGGUCUAACUCAUUUGCAUACUAAUUGAAUGUGGUCUGAGAGAAGGGUCCAUUGGUUCCCCUAUGCAACCUAACGUCACAUUUUAAAAAUCCUAGAUAAACCAAUGUGUCAUUUGCUGGUUCUUCUUGGUUAAGGGAAGGAGAAAAGGAAAUAAUUAAGUUACCUGCGUGUUUGGGCUUUGAUGUUCAGACUACUAAUUGUUCAAGGCAGGAAACUGAUCACGGAGGGGCAGGAGUGAUGCUUUGGUACAUCAAAACCCCCUGUUUAUUGCAGACAUGACAAGGGAAGUUAUAACUAAAGAGGAGGAUUUGUAUAAUUAAAUGUCAAAACAUAUUGUGAAAAAUGGUUUUUAACUCCUCAAAUCUCCCAGCAGGAUGAAAAAGAGAAACUCUCUAAUAAAGCUGGUUCCGCCUCACAGGAGGCCAGGAAGUCGUUGCUAACAGCAGAGAUCUGAGCAGAGGCAGCCUAACUCCUGGCAGCCUGUGCUUCUCCUGCCCAUCAGAGGAGAAUAGCUAAAGGCAACCAGGCCUGAGCACACAUCACACACUUAAAUUAACAACGUUUUCACUCAAUCUUUGCAGUUACCUUCUACUAUGUGAUUUACUCCCAUUUUACAGAUGAGGAAAACUGAGGCUCAGGGAGCUAUUAUAGCCAUUUCCAUCACCUUCCCUCAACUUUCUCCUUUUGUUGCUUUCUAUAGAAAUCCCGUAAGUCAUACAGGGGGCUUGAAGGAAAAUAUUGAAAGAGACAAACUGUGAACUGGGAAGACUUCCACUGGAAUCCCUUCUCUGAGGACUAGGUUUUACCCACUUUGAGGGAAUAGUAGUAGUAGAUCUAGAGCCUCUGAGAGUCACAGAUGCACAGACCCAGUGCUGGGCAUGGACCCCCACCACCACAUAUCAGCAACACACAUAAGGCGUAUAUGUACUAUGUCAAGGCUUCGUGCGCCAGCCCCUCAAACCCAUCCAUGACUCCUUAAGGAAGCCUUUGAUUUGGCUCUGCUUCCCUCUCCUUCCCACCUCCAAGUUUCCAAACCCCCUCCUCAACUGUGGAGGGGGUUGCUGAAAUCUCGGCUGCCUCUGUACACCAAUACCAAAUAGAAAUGCAGAGGCAGAGUUGGAGGGGAAAGUAGCUUUCAUUGCCAGGCAAAGGGGGGAACACAGCAGGCUCAUGCCUCAAGGACUGUGACUGCCCCUUGGAGGAGGUAGUGUGGAGUCUUAGAGUGUUUGAGGAGCAGGGCAUGAUCAGCUCCUGGAUAUUUUCCUGAUUGGUGGUGGGUGAGGUCAUAUGGAGUCAGCAUCAUCAACCUUCUGGUUCUACCCGGUCAGGGGUCUGUGUGCUUGUGGGCAGCACAGAGUGGACUUCUACCAUCUGGUGGGGGCUUCAGCACGUGCUAAAGAGCUCUAAGGAUGUGGCUCAGAAUAUUAUCCACAGUCCUUGAGGAAGAACUAACUAGAGGUCCUUGACUUUGUUGAAUGGCUAAACUAUUAUUAUUCUGUCUUGCUUGACUCUUUUCCUUUUUCUCUGUAUUUUUUCUCACUUCUCUGAUUAAAUUGAUUCUUUGACCAAAGUUUUUCUAUAGAUAAAAAGGCAGAUGGGGGACAUAAGUGGGGGGUCCACUCUGGGGGGACCUCAGGGUACUACUCAGGUACAAGGGUGGGGACUGAAUAGGUCCCCAUAUGGCUGCUGAUGGUUAUUUGGGGGACCUGCUGGGAUGCAACAGGAAGAUAAACAAAGCACUAAGGGCCUGCAUCAAGCCAACUGCUCAGGAGGGGGCUCCCAAGAGAGAUGUAACCCACCCUUAAAACCUACUCUUCCUUCCUCCCUCCAUCCUCUCCUCUGGGGAGGACCAAGGAAGGGCUGGAGACCAACAAGAGAAUCAAUCAUCCCCUCAGCCUUUAGAGCACAUACUGGAACUACGGCCCGGAAGGGGAAGCGAGGUACAGUUCCAGUAAACAAAGGAUCAGCUUAAGCCAUGAGUGCCUCUAGACUGGGGAGUGUCUCUUCCUCCUGCUAUGUCACCCAUGCCCAGCACAGAGGUGCCCAGGCCAAUGAGGAAGGGAACUUCUAGCGAGAUUGAAAAGUCUGAGGAUACAGACCAGAUUCAAAUAUCAGAGAAGAGGUGAAUAAGAUAUCCUUCAAUCAGAUGGUGAUUCCAAAAGUUGUUUAAAGUGCCAGCUUUGUCAAAAUUACCUG
rnacentral:lncRNA from 1 species